AUUUGUCUGCAGGAGCAAAUUCCCAGCAAGACUCAAGCUUGGCGCCUACGCAGGUUCCCUGGAGUCGCCUGAGGGCGAGCAGCUCCUCCACUGGUGUGCAGUGGGAACACGAACUUGCAUUGCUGGACUGCUGACAGACGGUCUUUUCCAGUCAACUGCUCAAAACGAGGAAUCAGACGAUAUAACUUCUGGUUUAUUCACAUUUCAGAUUAACUACUAAAAACGAGGCAUUCGACGACAUAGCUUCCGGUUUAUUCACAUUCUUUAUUAUGGCUCGCCGAGAGUAACAGCGGAUCACUUAGCAAGAGGCUGUGUUGGUCUUGGCAGAGAGACAGCAGUCCACCUAUACACGUCCAUGGUGGGAGUAAUGUGGUGUACUUCGCUAUCGGUGUAAGGAGGUAGUCUUGCUGACAUCCACCACUUCUCAAAGGUCAUUGAAUAUAUCAUGUUUCAAAAACCACGGUAACAGGGAAGAAUUUUCCGACUUCCAUAAAGGUUUGCAGUUAUAAAGAACGGUAUGACGGUAAUCCGAGGAGAACAAAAUCGCUCCAAAGAUAGUAGUCGUCGUCGUCGUCGUCACCAUCCUCCUACUCCUCCUCAUCAUCAUCUACAACAACAAUAAUAAUGAAUAUAGCUUUCCUGCACCGACAGUAGGUAGUAAACCGGCAAAAGACGGCAUGCGACUCAUUGUAAAUUUAAAUUAUCAUAUCUAUCAUACCGUGGUUCUACAGUUUUCUACAGAAGUAUUUUAAUAUGUUGUCAAGAUGGCCGUCCUGAUUUAAUCGUGUGCUUGGACUCGUCGCUUGCAAAUUAAUGGUUAAGUUAGUUGAGCUAACAAUCCGCAUUUAUGGCAUUUUCUGCCUCCUGUACACAAAGAAAUAAGUGUAAGGGUGAUUAACCAGCUGUGUGAGAGGAGGUAGGGAGAGGAGGGGUGUAGGGAGAUGUUGUAGAUAGGGCAGUGCUCAAAAGCAGACUAUAUUUUCGCUGUAAAGUGACUGCAGAGAUACAUUCGCCAAAAGACUGAUACCCGCAGACUGCUUUGGAUAUUACUUCUCGCAAAAGUCUGUCAGUCAUUUCUUUCUGCAGGGACAGCUUCACCAUGCUAAAGAACUUGGCCAAGGUAGUGGCAUUCCUAAUGACGUGGCACCUGCUGGUGGCGCAGAAAUCACCGUUGGAGAACCCUGACUGCUAUCUUUGUCACAGAGCGUGCGAGAUCAGUGAAUGCGUCUGCAAAAACGAGUGCAUCCAUGGAACAGGGAACGACUGCAGAGGGCUGACGAGGGUACAAUUACUACUCGUGAGCAUGUUUGUGUCAUCGCUGCAAGCAUACGACUAGCAAGUGCUAUAAAGACUGCACACCUGUCUGCUAGAAGACUAGGAAGACCAGGUUAUGAACGAGAUCCUGAAACAAAACCUUAGCCACAUAACUUACGAAAUCAAUCAUACUGGUUUCAGAAUAAAACGAAUGAUUAAAUAAACAAAUAAAAAUGUA